rnacentral:rRNA from 1 species
GACGAACGCUGGCGGCGUGCUUAACACAUGCAAGUCGAACGGAAAGGCCCUGCUUUUGUGGGGUGCUCGAGUGGCGAACGGGUGAGUAACACGGGAGUAACCUGCCCUUGACUUUGGGAUAACUUCAGGAAACUGGGGCUAAUACCGGAGAGGAGCUCCUGCUGCAGGGUGGGGGUUGGAAAGUUUCGGCGGUUGGGGAUGGACUCGCGGCUUAUCAGCUGGUUGGUGGGGUAGUGGCUUACCAAGGCUUUGACGGGUAGCCGGCCUGAGAGGGUGACCGGCCACAUUGGGACUGCGAUACGGCCCAGACUCCUACGGGAGGCAGCAGUGGGGAAUAUUGCACAAUGGGCGGAAGCCUGAUGCAGCAACGCCGCGUGCGGGAUGACGGCCUUCGGGUUGUAAACCGCUUUCGCCUGUGACGAAGCGUGAGUGACGGUAAUGGGUAAAGAAGCACCGGCUAACUACGUG